rnacentral:rRNA from 1 species
UCUGGCUCAGAUUGAACGCUGGCGGCGUGCCUAACACAUGCAAGUCGAGCGAGAAAGUCUACUUCGGUAGAUGAGUAAAGCGGCGCACGGGUGAGUAACGCGUGGAUUAUCUACCUCCGGGAACGGGAUACCAGUGGGAAACCGCUGCUAAUACCGUAUACGCUGGUAACGGGAAAGGGUGCCUCUUCUAUGCAUCUGCCCGGAGAUGAGUCCGCGUCCCAUUAGCUAGUUGGCGGGGUAAUGGCCCACCAAGGCUACGAUGGGUAGCUGGUUUGAGAGGAUGAUCAGCCACACUGGGACUGAAACACGGCCCAGACUCCUACGGGAGGCAGCAGUGGGGAAUAUUGCGCAAUGGGGGAAACCCUGACGCAGCGACGCCGCGUGGAGGAAGAAGGCUUUCGGGUCGUAAACUCCUGUCAAGAGGGAAGAAGUGUAUGUAGGUUAAUAGCCUAUGUAUUUGACGGUACCUCUAGAGGAAGCACCGGCUAAUUCCGUGCCAGCAGCCGCGGUAAUACGGAAGGUGCAAGCGUUAAUCGGAAUCACUGGGCGUAAAGCGCGCGUAGGCGGCCUUGUAAGUCGGAUGUGAAAGCCCACGGCUCAACCGUGGAACUGCAUUCGAAACUGCUUGGCUUGAGUCUUGGAGAGGGUGGCGGAAUUCCAGGUGUAGGAGUGAAAUCCGUAGAUAUCUGGAGGAACACCAGUGGCGAAGGCGGCCACCUGGACAAUGACUGACGCUGAGGUGCGAAAGCGUGGGUAGCAAACAGGAUUAGAUACCCUGGUAGUCCACGCCGUAAACGAUGGAUGCUAGGUGUCUGCCCGUUGGGGUAGGUGCCGUAGUUAACGCGUUAAGCAUCCCGCCUGGGGAGUACGGUCGCAAGGCUGAAACUCAAAGAAAUUGACCGUGGCCCGCACAAGC